GGGAACCAUCACUGCCCAGAGGUGUGUGCAUACUAACUAGGGAACCAUCACUGCCCAGAGGUGUGUGCAUACUAACUAGGGAACCAUCACUGCCCAGAGGUGUGUGCAUACUAACUAGGGAACCAUCACUGCCCAGAGGUGUGUGCAUACUAACUAGGGAACCAUCACUGCCCAGAGGUGUGUGCAUACUAACUAGGGAACCAUCACUGCCCAGAGGUGUGUGCAUACUAACUAGGGAACCAUCACUGCCCAGAGGUGUGUGCAUACUAACUGGAC